rnacentral:rRNA from 1 species
GAUUGACCUCGGAUCAGGUAGGGAUACCCGCUGAACUUAAGCAUAUCAAUAAGCGGAGGAAAAGAAACCAACAGGGAUUGCCUCAGUAACGGCGAGUGAAGCGGCAACAGCUCAAAUUUGAAAUCUGGCUCCUUCGGGGCCCGAGUUGUAAUUUGUAGAGGACGUUUCGGGUGCGGCCCGGUCUAAGUCCCUUGGAACAGGGCGUCAUAGAGGGUGAGAAUCCCGUAUGUGACCGGUGACCAACCCCAUGUGAAACCCCUUCGACGAGUCGAGUUGUUUGGGAAUGCAGCUCAAAAUGGGUGGUAAAUUCCAUCUAAAGCUAAAUACUGGCCAGAGACCGAUAGCGCACAAGUAGAGUGGUCGAAAGAUGAAAAGCACUUUGGAAAGAGAGUCAAACAGUACGUGAAAUUGUUGAAAGGGAAGCGCUGGCAACCAGACCUGCCCCGGGCGAUCAGCGGGUGUUCUCACCCGUGCACUCGCCCGCGAUCAGGCCAGCAUCGGUUUCGGCGGUCGGAUACAGACCCGGGGAACGUGGCUCUCUUCGGGGAGUGUUAUAGCCCCGGGUGCAAUGCGGCCAGCCGGGACCGAGGACCGCGCUUCGGCUAGAUGCUGGCGUAAUG